GCGGGCCGUGCCAUUUGGAGGGGGGAGAGGAACGAGCAAGAGCCUGGCUUUACUUCAGACAUAAAAGAAAUAAAAUGUGCCCGCGCCUCAUUCCAGGGACAGGUCCGACACGGAUUUUACUCAGGUCUUCAGACCUAGCAGUAAGCUCCUUCACCUGCUGAACCGUCUCAUUGGCUUUGGAGUCAUUUUCUCGAUUGAGGUUCCCUCUUCCCAGAUGAGCCUUGACAAAAAACUAACCACCACAAAAGUUGCCCACCAGAACUGUAGAAGACUGUAUUGCUGAAGAUACUGAGCACCUUGGUUGUGUGAUGCGGAGACAUCAAGCUGUGACCUGGAGGUUUCUUCUUUGCUGGCCAGCUUUCAUAGUCUCAGAAUAUGCGCACAAGUUGCUUGGGGAGAAAAGGCAUCACUGAUCUUAUCUGGCUGUGAACACUGAAGUCCAAGACCGAUCAGCCAGGCAGGAUGUACCCAGUUGUAUAAUGGUGGCAUUACCGGUAUGGGGUAACCAAUCCAAUCACACUCUGAUUGGAUUUGGAGUUCACUGUACAGGAGACAAUCUAUGCCUAUUACUGUAAAUAUAGUUUUAAAAAAACCCAAAAGCCUAUAGCAGGGAAGUCAUAGGUCCUGGGGAAAUAGAAUACCGUUUAGCUAAACCGAGAGGGGAGAAGGGUGCAGUGGCACAUAUCUGUAAUCCCAUCUCAGCCCACCUCCAGUGAGAUGGGAGGCAGGGCCAGGAAAAUCUUCUUUAAGCUUGUGGGUCAGCUAGCCAGAAUAGUUACCAUGGCAGAAACAGCAAGAGAGACCCUGGCUCAAUAAGGUGGAAAGAGAGGGCUCACUCCCCAAAGUUAAUCACUAAACUUUCCACAUUUGUUGUGGCACAAAAGCACCUGUGUGCGCGCACACGCGCACGCGUGCUCGCGCACACACACACGCACGCUCCCACACGCACCCACGCACACUAAGAAGUAUUUAUCUUUUUAUGUGUAUGUGUGUGUGCCAGUGUGAUUGAUACAUAUAUAUAUAUAUAUAUAUAUAUAUAUAUAUAUAUAUAUAUAUAUAUAUAUUUGUGUGUGCAGGUGCCCAAAGAGUUCAGAGGUGUUAGAUCCCAUGGAGCUGGAGUCACAGCUAAUUGUGAGCCAUCUGAUGUGGAUGCUGGGAACUGAACUCUGGUCCUUUAGAAAAGCAGUAUGAGCUCUUAACUGGAGCCAUUUCUCCAGCCCAAUAAAAAGGGGGAAAAAUUAAGUUUUAAAAACAAAGAAUUGACCGGGUGGUGGUAACACACACCUUUAAUCCUAGCACUCAGGAGACAGAGCCAGGCGGAUCUCUGUGAGUUUGAGGCUAGCCUGGUCUACAGAGGGAGAUCCAGGACAGGCACCAAAACUACACAGAGAAACCCUGUUUGUUUCAAAAAACAAAACAACAACAACAAAAACCCACAAAGGAUUGUUAGCCAGGCCAUGGUGGCAUACGCCUUUAAUCCCAAUACUUGGGAGGCAAAGGCAGGCUGAUCUCUGGGUUUGAGGCCAGCCUGGUCUACAAAGCAAGUUCCAUGACAACCAGGGCUGUUACAUAGAGAAAUCCUGUUUAAAAAAAAAAAAAAAAGAUUGUUGACAUAAUCCACCAUGGUUAA